rnacentral:rRNA from 1 species
AUUGAACGCUGGCGGCAGGCCUAACACAUGCAAGUCGAACGGUAACAGGAAGAAGCUUGCUUCUUUGCUGACGAGUGGCGGACGGGUGAGUAAUGUCUGGGAAACUGCCUGAUGGAGGGGGAUAACUACUGGAAACGGUAGCUAAUACCGCAUAACGUCGCAAGACCAAAAAGGGGGACCUUCGGGCCUCUUGCCAUCGGAUGUGCCCAGAUGGGAUUAGCUAGUAGGUGGGGUAACGGCUCACCUAGGCGACGAUCCCUAGCUGGUCUGAGAGGAUGACAGGCGACCCUGGAACUGAGACACGGUCCAGACUCCUACGGGAGGCAGCAGUGGGGUAUAUUGCACAAUGGGCGCAAGCAUGAUGCAGCCAUGCCGAGUGUAUGAAGACGGCCUUGGGGUUGUAAAGUACUUCCAGCGGGGAGGAAGGAAGUAAAGUUAAUACCUUUGCUCAUUGACGUUACCCGCAGAAGAAGCACCGGCUAACUCCGUG